CUGGCUCAGGAUGAACGCUAGCUACAGGCUUAACACAUGCAAGUCGAGGGGCAGCAUGUUGGUUGCUUGCAACCAAUGAUGGCGACCGGCGCACGGGUGAGUAACGCGUAUCCAACCUUCCCCCAAGUAGGGAAUAGCCCGGCGAAAGUCGGAUUAAUGCCCUAUGUUUUUCCUUAUGUGAGCAUUCUGUGAGGAACAAAGAUUGAUCGCUUGGGGAUGGGGAUGCGUCUGAUUAGAUGGUAGGCGGGGCAACGGCCCACCUAGUCCGCGAUCAGUAGGGGUUCUGAGAGGAAGGUCCCCCACAUUGGAACUGAGACACGGUCCAAACUCCUACGGGAGGCAGCAGUGAGGAAUAUUGGCCAAUGGCCGGGAGGCUGAACCAGCCCAAGUAGCGUGCGGGAUGACGGCCCUAUGGGUUGUAAACCGCUUUUGCCGGGGAAUAAAGUGGCCCACGUGUGGGUUUUUGCAUGUACCCGGAGAAUAAGGACCGGCUAAUUCCGUGCCAGCCGCCGC
rnacentral:rRNA from 1 species